rnacentral:pre_miRNA from 1 species
GUCCCAAAAUUCUUGUCUUAAUUUUUUCUAGAUACGGAUGUAUCUAACACUAAAAUGUAACUAGAUACAUUUGUAUUUAGACAAAUCUAAGACAAGAAUUUUGGGAC